rnacentral:siRNA from 1 species
ACACUUCCGAUGCGCAUGUAACU